GCCAGAGUGGUGUAGUGGUUUGAGUGUUGGACUACGACUCUGGAGACCAGGGUUCGAUUCCCAGCUCAGCCA